AUGAACGCUGGCGGUGUGCCUAACACAUGCAAGUCGUACGGUCGCAAGACAGUGGCAAACGGGUGAGUAAUAUGCAGGGAUCUGCCCCAAACUAGGAAAUACCCCGCCGAAAGGUGGGCUAAUGUCCUAUAACCCCGCAAGGGUAAAGAUUUAUCGGUUUGGGAGGAACCUGUAUCCUAUCAGCUAGUUGGUGAGGUAACGGCUCACCAAGGCAAUGACGGGUAGCUGGUCUGAGAGGAUGAUCAGCCACAAUGGGACUGAGACACGGCCCUUACUCCUACGGGAGGCAGCAGUUGGGAAUAUUGCGCAAUGGACGAAAGUCUGACGCAGCGACACCGCGUGAUUGAUGAAGCUUUUCGGAGUGUAAAAAUCUUUUCUCUGGGACGAUUAUGACGGUACCAGAGGAAUAAGAGCCUGCUAACUACGU
rnacentral:rRNA from 1 species